rnacentral:tRNA from 1 species
GCCUUCGUGGUGUAACGGUUAGCACACUCGGCGCGUAUUCGAGAGAUGCAGGUUCGAGUCUUGGCGAGGGCA